UUGAUACAACUAGUAAGUAAAUUCAAAAUUUUCAAGAAUCUAUGUCGAUGAUAAAACUUUAAUUUAUUAUACAACAACUUCACCAAAGUAAACUUUAAUUUAUUAAAAUAAUCACUUAGUAUUAAAAAUUUGUAUUUUGACCACUAAAUUUCAUUUACAACAAAGACCCUGAGACUUCGCCUCUGGGUCGCCCCGAUGUAUGCAUAUUACAACUAAGAAACAAAUCUGUCGUUGCAUGAUGAACUUUGGCUUGGUCUAUUCUCAAACUCUCAAAAUCCCCUAUUCACCUGUAACACAUAAUAACACAAGUAAGUUCUAAAGAAUUUAAUGAGUUUUCAUACAUUUUUGACACAACGCUAACAUGUUUGCACUUCAUUGGGGCUUCACGAUUGCCUUGCUCGUAUUAGGGUAGUACGCCAAUCUUAUUGUCCUAUUAAUUACAUCAUAUACAUUGAACUACUCAAACUUGACAAAUUUCCUUUAGUGUUACCAUUAUUUAUUUAUUCUUGCAAACUGAAGAACAAUCCAUCAUAUUUGAUUGCAGUUGAUAUGUUGUUGAUGACUUGGAAGUGGAAGAUUUCAUAAUUAGUUAUACUAAGCAUAGUAUACAUACAACUUCCACCGAUGAGAUCUGAUAGAUACAUUACCAGCAUACUGAUCUAAUAGUGAAUGAUUUCUUGGCGGAUUCCCCCUAGUAAUUCUAUUUUUCAUUAAUUUCCUUCAUAUUUUCUUAUGCAUCUAUUUCCUCAAAAGGGAAAUCCUCGCAGAUUCUUACUUUGCGAACUUGGAAAAGAUAAUCCAUAAAUAAUUCCCAUAGCACACAUUGCACCAAUGAUUACAGAUAUUCACAUAAGACCAUUCUUGGCGAAUAAUCUCUGUUGCGGGUUGUUAAGAGCGAUUUGUCUUAUUGAAAUCAAACUCGUAUUACGAUCCUCUUGGAUCCAUAAAGAAGAUACCCUUACAGCUAAAUAUAGAAAGCCUACUCAUCCCAAUCAAGUAGACAGAUCGGUCAAUACUUAUCAUUUUGCCUCUGUUUCACAAUCAGAUAGUCCACUCCUGGUGGUUAUCUCUUUGAAACAGAUAACUUGUGGGCAGAUUCUUAACAAUGAAUCCCCUAUUUGUGGAAUCAUACAUAUGACAUAGUCGUGGCGAACUUUCAUAUCUUUCUUAUACGGUUUCACAUAAACAGAUAGGUCGCAUAUAGUAAUGGAUUUCUAGAAAAUGAACUCAUUCUUGGCAGACUCAUACAAGCGGAUCAUUUCGUGCAAAAUCCCAUUUGUAAUAUAACCCUGAUAAAUUUCCACUUUUACGAUAGUCCUAACGAACUUCCCCAUUUAAGACAUUCCUGACGGACUUCCACAUUUAAAUGGUCCUAACGGGCUUCUACAUAUCAAAUAGUACUCAUAGACUUCCAUGGCCAUGGUCUUCCAUUCGUCCCAUACAGGGCUCUCAUACAUCCCACGAGGGGCACUCAAACGUCCGAUAAAGGGCUCUCAUAUACUGGUGCGCACCUUUCCCUAUACAAAUCUGAACUCUUUAAUGGCUCAGUCUAACCGAACCUCCCUUAAAGCCAUAGUAAAAAUAAAUGCAUAUGUGAUCUCUAUGCAUGUCCAUUCGAACCUCCGCAAAGCCACAGUUGUAAUUAACAUGCACAUCACAUAAAUAAUUAGCCAAUAAAUACUAUUUAUCAUAUAAUGUGUCCCAUAUCCAUCAUUCUAUCUAUGCAUCAUAUUCAUAUUUACUCACCAUACAGUUACAUCUCAUUAAGCAAUAUACAUCACGCUAAACCACUUGUCUAUCCAAUCAUGAUUAGGCUCACAACCAAACGAUAUUUGCAUUUAACAACACAUGCACACACAAGACAUUAUCACUUCGUCACAAGUUGAUUCACCAUUGGUAAAACACUAAUUCAAACAUAUUCAGUAUAUUAAUGACACAAGAUACAUUCAUUUAAGACCUGAGUCCAAAAACUUACCUGAAAGUUGACGUCAAAUCCAUCUAAUACGCUUUUCCCUUGCUACAUGAGCCUCCGACAGUUUACAAACAUAACCACCAUUUUAGAAUUCCAGUAAAGAUAAUUCAUCAUCAUAAGAAUCAUAUUUUGCUUACAUGCAAAUGCUAUUUAAAUAAUUAACAGAACAAAUUCGAUGUAUAACUAAAAUCCUUAACCUUAUUUCCUUUUCUUAAAUUCGUUAGCAUAGAAAGGUUAAUAAGCUUACCAGCUUAUGAAAUUUCUAGUUUCUAAGUCUCAAACCUCUAACUCUUCAUCCAUGCAAAAACGCUCUGUAAGCCUCCUCUCUUCCAUGGCAAACCAGAGGAAAGAUGAAGAAAGAUCAAAAAAAUGAAAGAACAAUUUUGGAGAAUAACACCUCUCUUAUAUAUAAUCCUCUUGCACAUCAUCAAUAUCAAAUCAACAACCACCUGGAAUAAUAUUAAUCAUCCUAUCUCCCACUAAGGACUAUCUAAUUCUUAAGUACCAGACUAAAGUUAAAAUUUAUUUUUUUUCUCAACUAGCCUGCCAAAAACGCUUAUUUGUAAAAAGAAUCCUCUAGAUUAGAAAACUUUUCAAUUUAAUACGCAAGUCCCCCACAUAACUUAAGACUUUAACAAGUCUGGGUGUGACAGAAAUACUUAGGUUUUCUUUGGGGAAAGAAAAGGAUC
rnacentral:lncRNA from 1 species